rnacentral:sRNA from 1 species
AGGAGAGUGGAUCCCUCCAAACUGGUACGCAGAACAAGUGCAGCACAGGCAGCGGCUGUGGAAGCUUCCCCACACAGCCCCCGCCAGUGCGCCUUGUUCUGCAGGGGUCACCUCUGGAGCUAAGAGGGUGACGGCGGAUUAAUCGCUUUCGAUCCUUGUCUUCC